AGCAUAUCAAUAAGCGGAGGAAAAGAAACCAACAGGGAUUGCCUUAGUAACGGCGAGUGAAGCGGCAACAGCUCAAAUUUGAAAGCUGGCUCCUUCGGAGUCCGCGUUGUAAUUUGUAGAGGAUGAUUCGGCGAGGGCUCCCGCCUAAGUCCCCUGGAACGGGGCGUCAUAGAGGGUGAGAAUCCCGUAUGCGGUGGGUUGCCUUAGCCAUGUGAAUCUCCUUCGACGAGUCGAGUUGUUUGGGAAUGCAGCUCUAAAUGGGAGGUAAAUUUCUUCUAAAGCUAAAUACCGGCCAGAGACCGAUAGCGCACAAGUAGAGUGAUCGAAAGAUGAAAAGCACUUUGGAAAGAGAGUUAAAAAGUACGUGAAAUUGUUGAAAGGGAAGCGCUUGCAGCCAGACUUGUCCGCAGUUGCUCAACCGGUCUCCUGACCGGUGUACUCUUCUGCGGCCAGGCCAGCAUCAGUUCGGGCGGUCGGAUAAAGGCCCUGGGAAUGUAGCUCCUCUCGGGGAGUGUUAUAGCCCAGGGUGGAAUGCGGCCAGCCUGGACUGAGGAUCUCGCUUCGGCUAGGAUGCUGGCGUAAUGGCUGUAAGCGGCCCGUCUUGAAACACGGACCAAGGAGUCUAACAUCUAUGCGAGUGUUUGGGUGUCAAACCCAUGCGCGUAAUGAAAGUGAACGGAGGUGGGAACCCUCACGGGUGCACCAUCGACCGAUCCUGAUGUCUUCGGAUGGAUUUGAGUAAGAGCAUAGCUGUUGGGACCCGAAAGAUGGUGAACUAUGCCUGAAUAGGGUGAAGCCAGAGGAAACUCUGGUGGAGGCUCGCAGCGGUUCUGACGUGCAAAUCGAUCGUCAAAUUUGGGUAUAGGGGCGAAAGACUAAUCGAACCAUC
rnacentral:rRNA from 1 species